GCAGGCCGGAAACUCGUCGGUCUGCAGAAUUGCAUGGAAUUUG
rnacentral:ncRNA from 1 species